rnacentral:lncRNA from 1 species
UGAUAAAGCAACUACUUUUCUCCUCCAGGAUAAGAAAGGUCAUUUUUAAAAUAGCUUGUAAAAAAAAGGACAUUAUCUGUAUCUAUACAUCAAUAUACAUGUAUGACACACACACAAAUAUGGAUAAUUCUUUGUUGUCUUAAAGUCUGUUGGGAUCUAAUUGAAGUACCAUGAAGUGGACACACUUAUAGUCAAUGGCAUUUAGUGUAUUUACAGAGGUUUGCAAGCCUCUGCUAACCAGAUUUUAGGAGAGUGUCAUCUCCUAGAGAAGGCCUAUUGGCCAAGGAAACCUUGAGGUGUCUUUCCCUGUGCCGUUCAUUCAGCCCAGUUCCCCCCUAGAGCAUUCUAACUGCAAGACCUUUGUCAGGUUAAAUGAGGAUGUAUCUUUUUACAGCCUCUCGGCAACUAUGUAACUGGGGAUUACUUCCUCCAGGGCCUGGAGCUGCCCCUUUAAAUGUAUUCAUAAAGGAACAUGGUUUUCCAAUCCCCCAGGCUGUGUGGAAGGAACAGAACGCAACCUCAGUACACACAGUGAUCAACUGCAGUUUUUGACAUCUCCCAACUCAUCUCCCUUUCCUGAGCCCUAAGGAAAGACACGUUGACUCUCCGUGAACCUGCUCCUUGUGAACGUUUUCGAUCAGUGGGACCACACACAUUUGGGAGGCUGUUCAUUAAUUUGUGAAGUAGGUGGGAUUUUAGAUUUUUCCACUUUUGGCUGUUAGAAGUUAACGUUGGUAUUUGUGGAUACAUUUUAUAAGGACAAGCUUUCAGCUGUAUCUAGGAAUAGCAUUUCUGGCUCAUGUGGUGGCUCUGUUCAUUUUGAGGCACUUCCAGGCUGUAUUUACAACGCAGUGGCAUAAUUUUACAUCCCUACCAUGCAUCUGUGAAGCGUCCAAUUCCAAACCCUUGCCAGCACCACUCACUGCUCCCUCUCAGCACAGCCAUCCUACCGAUUGUCAAGCGUUUGUUUCCUAAUCUUUUUUUAAUACAACAGAAUAUUUCAUUAUGUGACUAUUCAAACCUAAGUAGGAAAUAUAUCUAUUGAUCUCUAAGUGAAAAUGCAGCGUAGGAAGAAUUAAUUUGAGUUCUGAAGUUAUACUGCAUCUGAUACCAGUGACAAAG